UCAACUGUGUUUGCAUUGAUGUCAUGA
rnacentral:sRNA from 1 species